GUCAGAACCUUGGAGGCUGUCAACAAGUCAGACACCACAGCAGUACAUUGAUCUGAAGAAGAACCCAGAAAUGUUAGCCUCUGGUGGAGGGUUUGGGCCGGUGGCUGAUGAUGGUUAUGGUGUUUCUUACAUGAUCUUGGGUGAAAAUUUCAUUCAUUUCCAUGUCUCCAGCAAAAUAUCUUGUUCUGAGACGGAUUCUCAUCGUUUUGGAAAGAACAUCCAGAAAGCAAUGGUUGACAUCAUGGGUUUAUUUAACCUUAGUAAAAACUGUACAAAGUGAUCUGCUUUCCUGGUGCCAAGCAAGCUCCUCUUGGUGGGAUGAGAACUCUUCUGCACAGGGAACAAGAGCAAGGUUUGUCGAAGAGUAGCUGGAGAAGAAACUGAGUCAUCACCUUCUUGAUCACCUAUUAAAGCCUUAGCAGUAUAUUAAAUG